UGGGGAAUCUUGGACAAUGGGGGCAACCCUGAUCCAGCCAUGCCGCGUGAGUGAUGAAGGCCUUAGGGUCGUAAAGCUCUUUCGCCUGUGAAGAUAAUGACGGUAGCAGGUAAAGAAACCCCGGCUAACUCCGUGCCAGCAGCCGCGGUAAUACGGAGGGGGUUAGCGUUGUUCGGAAUUACUGGGCGUAAAGCGCACGUAGGCGGACCAGAAAGUUGGGGGUGAAAUCCCGGGGGCUCAACCCCGGAACUGCCUCCAAAACUAUUGGUCUAGAGUUCGAGAGAGGUGAGUGGAAUUCCAAGUGUAGAGGUGAAAUUCGUAGAUAUUUGGAGGAACACCAGUGGCGAAGGCGGCUCACUGGCUCGAUACUGACGCUGAGGUGCGAAAGUGUGGGGAGCAAACAGGAUUAGAUACCCUGGUAGUCCACACCGUAAAACGAUGAAUGCCAGUCGUCGGGUAGCAUGCUAUUCGGUGACACACCUAACGGAUUAAGCAUUCCGCCUGGGGAGUACGGUCGCAAGAUUAAAACUCAAAGGAAUU
rnacentral:rRNA from 1 species